AUGAAGCUCUGUGGAUGUGGAUCUUGCUCCUGCAAGCAAAAUUUUUCUGUAAUCUGCAGUGACACAAGUUUUGCAGUAGCAGAAAGGACUUCAUUUGCCCUCCUCAAGCUGGGGCCCUCAGACACGCUCUCUCCUGCAUCAUAUAAAACUUUGAAUCUUGAAGUUUCUGUUCACAGAAGAGCAGGAAGCAUGUACAAGAUAAUCUUCUAUAAAACAGUGUUUUGAAGUGCUUUGACACUGCAAGAAGUACAUGAAAGCCAUUGGAACGAAGUCUGUGAAGGAAGUUUAUCUUAAUUCUCUCUUGGAACAAUUAUGGCGAUUAGAUACACUGAUACUUUUGUAUCCUUAAAACCACAAUAUUUGUAGAGCAAUGAUUAGAAGGAGUUUCUUACUGGAAAUAGAUCUAAAACUAUGGUUUUGAUGACAUCUUUAGGAAAACAGUUGUGCUAUGAGCAAGAUAAUGAUGACAGAUAUCAAGGUCAGUGUAAUUACUUUCUGUGUUUGGAUUAGCAUUACCCUAGGUGUUACAUGCAAACUAUCUACAAGCAUCAGUCUAUUGUUAUCCUUUCUUAAGAACAGACCUUCUUACUUUUACAUUAUGAACAUUAAUGCAUGCACCAAAAUAAGAUUUAGUUCCUUUUUUUUUUUUUUUUUUUUAACUUGAAGAUGCAUUAGAGAAAAAAAAAAAGAGAAAGGGAAAAACAGACCAAGGCUGGCUUUAAAGCUGCUGAUAUGCAAACUCAGAAAAGCAGACUGCAAAAAUGUAUUUUAUCCAAGAGAGCUGGAUUGAAGAAACUAGCUAGCAUUUAAAAAAGAACUGGUAUGUCAGGUUCCUAUUUACAUUUCUGAUACUCCUGAAAUUAAUAGAUAGCUAUUUGCUUUAAUCUUUCCGUAUCAGCCACAAACUGCUUGUAUAUGUUGUAUCAUAAUAAUUCUGAUAGGAAUAGAAUUUUAUUUUAGUGACAUUGAGUUUCUAAUUUUCAAGCCCAAGUUAUUGGAUGGGAACUGUGCUUGAGGGUGAUAUAAAAACCUUACGUAAACAGUGCUUCAGAACUAUAUAUAUAUCUUGACUGGACUAAACCAACAGGGGUAGUAGCAUGCAUAUUCAAAAGCACACUUAAAUGAAAAAUAUUUCAGAGCUACAGUAACAUGAUCUUCUGAGCUGUAAGUAAAAUGUAAUAUGAUAACAGAAGACAAGGUUAGUAAAACAAGCCUUACUCCUUCAGAUUCUUUGUUUAAUGCUAUUCAGUAUCUGGACACAGUAAACUCGGUGCCUCUCCACCCCUCACCCACAAUGGAUCUCCUUCUGAAUUAUUUGUCUUUGAAAUUACUCAUUUUUUCCUCCAGCUGUGUUGCAAUGUUCAGCUGAGGCUAUAAAUAAACAGCUCUUUCAAAUGUCA
rnacentral:lncRNA from 1 species